rnacentral:rRNA from 1 species
UCAAACGGCCGCAGAAUUUAUUCGAGUCGUUGGCGGUGGGGCCAAAAGCAACCUUUGGCUGACGAUUUUUGCCAAUGUUUUUGGCUUACCGUUGCGUAAACGCGCUGUUCAACGCGAGGCGAUUGAAGGCGCAACUAUGCUGGCAAUCAUCGGUGAUGGUGAAGUUGUACCAGAUCGAAGCGGGGAUGAUGAGGUGAUUCUUCCUGAACCGACGUUGAAAAGAGCCUAUGAUGAACAGUAUCAACGUUACCUUAAAUUGGCAUUCGUUUUAACAAAUGCCGAGCUAAAGAUUGGAGGCGGGCAAAGUUGAAAAAGUGUCUUCUUUGUGAGAAAAAACUUGGCUGGGUUAAGUUUAAGACGGCUGAUGGUUAUCUUUGCAAGACUUGUUAUGGAAUUGCUAGCCUGAACUACACCAGAACGAUCACUAGGAUGACUUUGACUGAUCUAGAGAAAGUCUAUCAGCAGGCUCAGCAAGAUGAAACGAUGCAAAAUACCGUUGACUUUGAUAUCACGCGUCGAAUCAAUGGCUAUGUUUUAUUUGAUGACAGUCGUCAAAUUUUGUGUUUGCCAAAUAAUAGUCGGUUUGCUGCUGCCAAACUUAAGCCAGAAUACUAUCCGUAUGAGGCGGUUAGAGACGCUCAGAUAUUAGAUCAGGUGAUCAUGGUCAAAGAAAAACAACUGCACACGUUACAAGUGCAAGUUGACUUCUCUAAACCCCAAGACGUUUCAAGGCGAAUUGUCUUGAUUCCUAAGCCGAUUGAAGCAAAAGCAAGCGUGUAUCAUACGAUGUACAAUUUGGCGGAGCAGAUGGCAGCUCAAUUGCGAUCACUGCGCGCUGCGACAUCGUUAAAUUAACAGAUGCAGGCAAUGCUGACGUCAGAACAGAUAUGGAAAAUCUCAGUUGUUGUUAUCGCGCAACUGGGAUUUUUGCGAUAUUCUGACUGAACUGGCAAAUAGGACGAGUUUAGUCAGAAUCAUGGCGACAUCUACGUAAAAACUGGCAUCGCCUAGUCACGAGUAGCCGACUAAGCGAUGCCAGUUCUUUUAAUUCCCCCAAAGCUGUGUUCAGUGUUGCCAUGCCGUAUGAACAGUCGUGUGCCCCCUGAACGGUUACAACGGUGGUGGCUUUAUCGGUUCGCUUCAUCCUCCAAAGCCUUAGCCGCCAGCAGAUUCUCCUCUGCCAUCAUUGGUACACGACCCAGUGGAUCGAGACCAACGUUCAGCAGAUAAUUGAUGCCAAAAUCGUUGAGGUGUUGCUUAUAGCGAUAAAGGGUACGUGGUGUUUUCCAAUUCUGGUCGUGGUACGAGAAGCCCCAAGAAUCAUUAAUGGUGCCGGCAGUUUCGUAGAGACCCAGUGGCGAAGGCUUGAAGCCAGUAAUUUCGUUGUAGUCAACGUCGGUCUUGUUCAUGUCUUCUUUGUUUUUCGGGAUCUCGUUGUCGCCCAGAGAAACGAAGUCGUAUUUGCCAUUGCCUAGACGUGAGUUGAUUAAGCAGUUUGGCUGCAGCUCGCGGACGGUGUCGUAAAUGGUCUGACUUUGCGCUUCAGACAGGGUCAUCGGGACAUCGAACCACGCUGUUGCAAUGUCACCGUAAUUCGACAUGAUUUCCUUGAUUUGCGGCAGAAUCUUGUUGUCGAAACAAAGAUCGAAGUUUUUUUGAUCUUCGUCAGGAAAGUCCCAACUAUUAUCCCAAGUCGUGCCAGCGGUUUCGACAUCGUUUGACUUGUAGCCGCCGCCGUUCGGAUCGUGCCAGUCGAGGUCUUGUGAGUAAUACAGGCCAAACUUGAGCCCGGCUUUUUGACAGGCUUCUGCCAGCUCACCGAUGAUAUCACGGUGAAAUGGCGUGGCGUCAUAAACGUUAUAAGCAUCGACCUUGGAGUGAUACAUGGCAAAGCCAUCGUGGUGUUUAGUUGUUACCACCAGAUACUGCAUGCCGCAUUGCUUAGCGAGUGCGACGAUUUUUUUGGCAUCGAAGUACAGCGGAUUGAAGGCGGUUGCCAAGUUGCCAUACUCAGCAUUAGGAAUCUGAAAUUUUGACUGAAUCCAUUCUGCAUAAGCGCUGGAAGAUUCGCCACGAUAUUCACCAGCUAGCAGUGAAUAGAGGCCCCAAUGGAUCAUCAUGCCGUACUUCGCUUGUUUAAACCAUGCUACAUUGUCAUUCAUGAAUUCUUCUCCUUUGAAAAGUGAACGCGAGCCAGCGCGGUUGCUGCUCCGGGGAGCGCGUUAUGAUGGGUCACGCUAUCUUAAAAUGCGCUCGCAGGUCCAGAAAACUGCACACAAGGAUCUCCAGCAUAAAUGGCCAAAGUCCAGCCAUUUAUGCUCCGGUUUCUAACAGGGCCUGCUCACGCUCUGACUAAAUGGUCAAUUUGUCUUUUUUAACAACGACAAGGUCAUAGACAGCUAACAGAACAUAGAAGAUGCCGCUCCACAGAAUCAUAUUGGCUGGGCCUGCAUUGCCAAUCAUUUCACCGAAGAAUUGGAAGAAAUAAGGGGCGAUCAGAAAGCCGAUGUUGAUG